GACGAACGCUGGCAGCGUGCUUAACACAUGCAAGUCGAACGGGCACUUCGGUGUCAGUGGCGAACGGGUGAGUAAAGCGCAGGUAAUCUGCCGCAAAGUCGGGGACAACGUUGCGAAAGUGACGCUAAUACCGGAUGUUGUGUAGCUGUCGCAUGACAGUUGCACUAAAGAUUUAUCGCUUUGCGAGGAGCCUGCGUCCGAUUAGCUUGUUGGUGGGGUAAAAGCCUACCAAGGCGACGAUCGGUAGCCGGUCUGAGAGGAUGAACGGCCACAAUGGAACUGAGACACGGUCCAUACUCC
rnacentral:rRNA from 1 species